rnacentral:rRNA from 1 species
GCGCACGGGGAGGGGGUCGCGGCCUAUCAGCUUGUUGGCGGGGUAACGGCCCACCAAGGCGACGACGGGUAGCUGGUCUGAGAGGAUGGCCAGCCACAUUGGGACUGAGAGACGGCCCAG